rnacentral:rRNA from 1 species
UACGUAGGGGGCAAGCGUUAUCCGGAUUUACUGGGUGUAAAGGGAGCGCAGACGGCAGUGCAAGUCUGGAGUGAAAGCCCGGGGCUCAACUGCGGGACUGCUUUUGAAACUGCCAAGCUAGAGUGUCGGAGAGGUAAGUGGAAUUCCUAGUGUAGCGGUGAAAUGCGUAGAUAUUAGGAGGAACACCAGUGGCGAAGGCGGCUUACUGGACGAUGACUGACGCUGAGGCUCGAAAGCGUGGGGAGCAAACAGG